rnacentral:rRNA from 1 species
UGGGGAAUAUUGGACAAUGGGCGCAAGCCUGAUCCAGCAAUGCCGUGUGAGUGAUGAAGGCCUUCGGGUUGUAAAGCUCUUUCGCCUGCGAGGAUGAUGACGGUAGCAGGAGAAGAAGCCCCGGCUAACUUCGUGCCAGCAGCCGCGGUAAUACGAAGGGGGCGAGCGUUGUUCGGAUUUACUGGGCGUAAAGGGCGCGUAGGCGGCGAUGUAAGUCAGGCGUGAAAGCCCCGGGCUCAACCUGGGAGGUGCGCUUGGGACUACAUUGCUGGAGUUCGGGAGAGGAGCGUGGAAUUCCCAGUGUAGAGGUGAAAUUCGUAGAUAUUGGGAAGAACACCGGUGGCGAAGGCGGCGCUCUGGACCGAUACUGACGCUGAGGCGCGAAAGCGUGGGGAGCAAACAGGAUUAGAUACCCUGGUAGUCCACGCUGUAAACGAUGUGUGCUAGACGUUGGGGAGCUCAGCUCUUCGGUGUCGCAGCUAACGCUUUAAGCACACCGCCUGGGGAGUACGGCCGCAAGG